rfam:Capsella rubella cultivar Monte Gargano unplaced genomic scaffold scaffold_2, whole genome shotgun sequence.
AAGCAAUGGUGAGGGCACUGAGACUGAUAACUUUGGAAGCGCUCCCAUGCUUCAUAGAGUGUUUUCACCAUUCUUCUGAGUGAACCCAGAAAUGUCGUUGCGUAGACGU